UGAACGCUGGCGGCGUGCCUAAUACAUGCAAGUCGAACGAGUUCUGAUUAUUGAAAGGUGCUUGCAUCUUGAUUUAAUUUUGAACGAGUGGCGGACGGGUGAGUAACACGUGGGUAACCUGCCCUUAAGUGGGGGAUAACAUUUGGAAACAGAUGCUAAUACCGCAUAAAUCCAAGAACCGCAUGGUUCUUGGCUGAAAGAUGGCGUAAGCUAUCGCUUUUGGAUGGACCCGCGGCGUAUUAGCUAGUUGGUGAGGUAACGGCUCACCAAGGCAAUGAUACGUAGCCGAACUGAGAGGUUGAUCGGCCACAUUGGGACUGAGACACGGCCCAAACUCCUACGGGAGGCAGCAGUAGGGAAUCUUCCACAAUGGACGCAAGUCUGAUGGAGCAACGCCGCGUGAGUGAAGAAGGCUUUCGGGUCGUAAAACUCUGUUGUUGGAGAAGAAUGGUCGGCAGAGUAACUGUUGUCGGCGUGACGGUAUCCAACCAGAAAGCCACGGCUAACUACGUGCCAGCAGCCGCGGUAAUACGUAGGUGGCAAGCGUUAUCCGGAUUUAUUGGGCGUAAAGCGAGCGCAGGCGGUUUUUUAAGUCUGAUGUGAAAGCCCUCGGCUUAACCGAGGAAGUGCAUCGGAAACUGGGAAACUUGAGUGCAGAAGAGGACAGUGGAACUCCAUGUGUAGCGGUGAAAUGCGUAGAUAUAUGGAAGAACACCAGUGGCGAAGGCGGCUGUCUGGUCUGUAACUGACGCUGGGGCUCGAAAGCAUGGGUAGCGAACAGGAUUAGAUACCCUGGUAGUCCAUGCCGUAAACGAUGAAUGCUAGGUGUUGGAGGGUUUCCGCCCUUCAGUGCCGCAGCUAACGCAUUAAGCAUUCCGCCUGGGGAGUACGACCGCAAGGUUGAAACUCAAAGGAAUUGACGGGGGCCCGCACAAGCGGUGGAGCAUGUGGUUUAAUUCGAAGCAACGCGAAGAACCUUACCAGGUCUUGACAUCUUUUGAUCACCUGAGAGAUCAGGUUUCCCCUUCGGGGGCAAAAUGACAGGUGGUGCAUGGUUGUCGUCAGCUCGUGUCGUGAGAUGUUGGGUUAAGUCCCGCAACGAGCGCAACCCUUAUGACUAGUUGCCAGCAUUUAGUUGGGCACUCUAGUAAGACUGCCGGUGACAAACCGGAGGAAGGUGGGGAUGACGUCAAAUCAUCAUGCCCCUUAUGACCUGGGCUACACACGUGCUACAAUGGAUGGUACAACGAGUUGCGAGACCGCGAGGUCAAGCUAAUCUCUUAAAGCCAUUCUCAGUUCGGACUGUAGGCUGCAACUCGCCUACACGAAGUCGGAAUCGCUAGUAAUCGCGGAUCAGCACGCCGCGGUGAAUACGUUCCCGGGCCUUGUACACACCGCCCGUCACACCAUGAGAGUUUGUAACACCCGAAGCCGGUGGCGUAACCCUUUUAGGGAGCGAGCCGUCUAAGGUGGGACAAAUGAUUAG
rnacentral:rRNA from 1 species